rnacentral:lncRNA from 1 species
AUGCAAAUACCUCCGGAGCCACAAGGAACCCACGUGGAGGAGCCCUCUCUCUGGACACACAUAAUCGAAGUGAGGACAGUGUUGAAGAAGCUCCUCAGAAGGAGUUCUAGUUCUCAGACCUUUCACUCUUUUGGUCACUCUUCUCUGGACACAGUCUACUUUGUCCCAGCCUUUCCUGACCUUUGUUGCCCAGAAGUGGACACAGUCUUAUUCCAGGCAAAGUCUGACCAAAGCCAAAGAGAUACCCACCUUCAGAGGGAGACAGAGCUUUGGAGACAGGAGGUGAGUUGUGAGUUGGGUGUCCCUUGGGAACGGUAACCAGCGGAAAAAGAUCGCCACCCUUUCCCCUUGGGUUCCUCCAUCCCGUUUGCUCCCUGUCCCUCAUGGAAGCUGGAUCAAGGCAGCAUUUGAGGGAUAUUGCAAAGGAAAUGCCCUUCUUAGCUGGAGCCUUGAGUUUCCCUUUCUUUCCCUGCAGUUUCUGGGGAGAGAGAAGCCCCUCU